CUGCGCGCCCCAGCAAUCUAAGCAGAUGGCCGCACUGUCGGGAACAUCUGGAGGUCGCCGGAGUACGUGCCUGUGUAUGUGUAUGUGUGUGUAUGACUGUGUGUGUGGAAAGAGAGAGGGAAUUAGUUGCUAGUAAGAAAGAGAUUUGGUGGGUGGGUGAGGGCUUCCUCUUUGCUUGUUCACCGCCCCUCCCCAUUUUUUUUUAAAGAGUGAAAGAGGUUCAGGGACUACCGGGAGCAAGAAACCAAGAAUCUGAAGCAGAGAAAGACUGGCUGAAAGACGAACCCACAGAGAAGAGAGAGCCCGGCUCGGGCAGAAAAGCUGGCAGGAGAGGAGAGAGAAAGUCAACAGAUUGAGUUUUUCUUUUAGGAGGAAACCAUUGGCUUCUGGUUAGAGUUCUAAGAAGGGAAACUGGCGUGUGAGUAGGCAGCAGUUUCAGUCUAUUCCCCCUGCUGUAGCUCUUGGGCUCUCACCCCUCUUUAUGUUAAAAAAAAAAAAAAAGGGCAGGAAAGCAUCCAAGACACUUUAAAAUGAGGGUUUGCAGGAGAAAUGACCUGGUGGACGCAUUUCCUAGGAGGGGAGAGUCAGGUGUGUGGGUGGCUCCCAGUCUACACACCCCGACAAUGCCUACCUUGGGAGAGGGGCAGUUCACAGGUGGGAGAGUUGAUAGAGGCUUUGGUCUUGGGCCCUGGACCUCCCAGGAGCUUCUCCUAGACUUUGGAGGGCCUCGGGGUGCAGAAAUUGGGCAAUGUACCUCCUGCAGUGGCCCAGACUUGUUAACACACCCAGUCUGCUUGCUGCUUCUUUCCUUAUUACUUUUUCUUAUUCAUUAAAAAAAAAAAAAAAAAAAGGAGUUGCUUGGGCCUGUGUGUGCAUGCAUGCCGGUCUACUUGGGGAAGAAGGAAGACACUAGAGAGGUGGUGAGGUAGGAGUGGAGACCACUGCCCCAGGCCUCAGGCCAGCAAAAUCAUCUGCUGCCCAGAAAACAAACUGGUCUUGCAGGUCCUUUCUGCACUCAGAGCCAUUGUGUGGUCUUGGGGAUGCACUUGGGUUGACACCUGUGGACCCUGCCAGUUAGGAAUGUGCAGAGAAAAGGCUAGGAGCCUGGUCUCAUAUGUGUGGAAGCAGGGAGAACUCCCGUCUCUCCUCUCCAUUCAUUGUCCUCUCCUGAUUAGAAUCCCAGCUUUCAGAACUAGGAGUCCUUCUGUGAUCAUCCAGCUCACACUCCUUAUCAGUCUUUGGGAUGGCACCAUGGGCCCUUUGGUAUCCAGUGUCUUCCUCACUGUUGGGCUUAAAAGGGCUGCAGGGAUUCAACUCCACAACCCCUGGGACCCAUAGAGAGGAGUCGGGCCCCUCCCAUUUCCCACCCUCCCAUUCCCUCCCCUCUCUAAAGGCUCCUGGCCUAGAUGGGAGAGAGACCUGCAAUCAGCAUCGGGUGAGGGCCAAGCUUGGUCAGGAUUCAGGUUCCAGCCCUGCCACUUACCAGCUCUGGGUAACUUUAGGCAAGUUACCUAACCUCUCUGAGACUCAGUGUCUGCAACUGUAGAAGAGGCUAUUGUGAGGAAUAAACAAGGUAAUUUAGGUAAAGCAUUAGUCUGGCUCACAGGAAGCUCCUUUGUGUGGUUGCUAAAUGUCUUCCGUCAGGGACUGGGGUAGAGACUGGAAAGCCCAGCAGGCUUGGGAGGGGAGGGUGCCCGGGAAUGACCUCUGGACUCCCUGGCUUGUCUAGCUUAUAUUCCUCCUGCUUCCUCCCCUCCCAUAGGGACAUUCUUUUGAAGGAAUGGCGCCCCCCUCCCCUUGCCCUAGACUAACGAUUUCCAUCCUCUCCUCCAUGUGGAAUUGUUUAGCGAGUCUCAAGUUCAGCAUCUGAGAACUGGAGAUGAAAAUACCCAACUGCCCGGGAACUCAGGGAAGCUAACUCCCACUGCACUGUGUGUGCAGGUUCUAGCCAGCUGGGCUGGAGGCUCCAGGCCUCACAUUUAACAUAAAAGUAAUCAACAACCCUUCACACUGGCUGGUAGCUGGCAGCAGUUUCUGAGCACUUUCACAUUCAUCAUUUCCCUUGACCUCCCCUUAGGGAGAGGUGGCCUUGAGGGGCUUCAGCUGGUGGAUCUCCAUGAACUUUACCCACCUCCCCUCAUCACUGUGCCUCCAGUUGAGAGUCUCUGUGCCUCUAGACUCUCCUCUUCUGUCUGCUGUCCACAUUCCAGCAAGAGUGCCCUUUCUAAACUGCAGAUCUGCAGAAUGGAUCAUGACACUUGCCUGCUUAAAACCUUUCAAUGGCAAAAGCCAAACUGCUUGGUGUGGCAUUCAAGGCCUAUGUGAUAUGCCCCCACCUCACCUUAACUCUCCAGCAUCAGUUCUGGCCACCCCCUCUUACACAUCCCAAGUUUUAGUCCCCUAGUCACCUAGAAGUAAGGGAAGGGAGGUGGACCUUCUCCAUUCUUCAUGUCUGUUCAGUGUCUUCGCCCCCAGGGAGUCCUCUCUCUGGCGAAGUUGGCCUCUCCAUCUGUGAUAUUGCCAUGUCCUUUGUAUAUAAGCACCAUCAUUUUCACCGUUCUCUUCCCCUUCUUGUGAUCAUCUUGGCCACUGUGACAUGUCAGGGACUGUGCUGGAUACUUUUAAGAUCAUGAUUUAAUCCAAACAACCACACUAGAUGGAUAGUGGUGCGGCCCAGAAAGGGCAAGAGAUCUGUCUGGGGUUACAUAGCAUGUUCUCUGCGGAGCUGGCACAACAUUUAGGGCUCCAGUGCUCUUUCUGUUGCCUUUUAAUCUCCACAAAGAGCAGAGGUGGUGUAGCAGAAAGGCCUGGGAAUCUAAGGAUCCCAGGUGCAAACCAUCACUCCUCUAUCCCUGGCUAACUGUGGACUUUGGGUAAGUCAUUUUCUCCCCUAAGCCUCAGUUUCCUUACCUGUAAAAUAGGGAUAAAUAAGAAGCCCUAUCUCCCAGGGAUAUCGGGGUGAUCAAAUGAAUCAAUACAGAUGCAAAUGUGUUAUAAGCCAUAGGGUGCUGUGUGCUUUUAUUUAUUUGCUUAGAGAUGAGGUCUUACUCUGUCACCCAGGCUGGAGCGCAGUGGUGCAAUCAUAGCUCACUGCCACCUUGAGUUCCUGGGCUCAAGGGAUCCUCCUGCCUCAGCCUCCUGAGUAGCUGGGACUACAGGCACACCACCAUGUGCCUCGCUAAUUUUUAAAUUAUUUGUAGAGACGAGGGUCUUAUCAUCUUGCCCAGGCUGAUCUCGAACUCUUGGGCUCAAGCAGUCCUCCUGCCUUGGCCUCCCAAAGUGCUGGGAUUACAGGUGUGAGCCACCAUGUCUGGUCGUGGUGUGAUUUUAAUUGACUUACCUGAACAGCCAUACUGAAGCUGCGGGUGAUCUGUUGGAAGAUCUCUUUUCUCGAAGAGCCCUUGAGUGGAGGUCAGAAGACACUAUUCGUCCCUUCAGCCGCUUUGCUCAUUUUCCAUGUUUUGAGACAGGUCUUUCAUUUUCUGUCCUUCAUUAUAGCGAUCAAGCCCUGACCAGAAAACCCUUCAGAUCCAAUGUAUCUCCAUGAGCCUCCAGGAUCUCUAUUUUUCUUGCUGCAUUUUCUUCUUUUCAGCUAUCAGAAGCUGGCAGGUCUUAAGUUAAUAAAGCAUCAGGACCAUGUGUGGAAAUAGCAGAAAAGAAGAGCUGGAAGAAAAAGGAUGUGUCUCCACCCCUGCCCCCCACCCUGACUCUGUAGAUGUGGCAUGUGGCAGGUUAUGUUUUCUAAAAGUUCCUCUGGUUAUUCUGAUGUCAGUACGAGGACCGCGGGACAUGACAGAAUACCUUGGAAUUGGAAGACCUUUCAUGCAUGUUCUCAUUAAACCUCUGAGCAGGCUUCUUAGGUAGUUGAUUAUCCCCUCCAUUUUACAGAUGUGGAAACUGAGACUCAGAAGUGACUUACCCAGGAUUGCACAGCUGGAACUGAAAACUGGCUCACGGACAGAACUCCAGCCAUUCCUCUGGAGGGCGGAAUUCUGUGCCUGGGCUUUGCUGGUGUCUCAGCAGUCAAUGCAUGACAAAUGCUUCUCCCAUCCUGCCAAAUCAAAUGCUUCCCUAAAUAUUUCUCUCCCACUCUUCCACCUCCAUGCUUUUUCCCCUGCCUGGAAUGCUUUUCUCAGUUCAAUCUACCAGCUGCAGUUUUCACUGUCCUCCGAGCCCUGCCACCUCCUGCACAAAGACAUUUCCAUUUCCCGCAGUUUCUCUUCCUUUGAGCCUAGAAACACUUGGUCUGUGCCUCAGUACAGCUGUCUCUUCAGCCUUCCCUCCUGCCUCAACUUGAUGCUCCAACAUCCCCAGCUGUUGGGGUUUCCUGUGCUUCUGGCAGUUCCUUACCACCUCUGGGUCUUUGCUUCUCUUUGUGCCUACAGAAGUGCCCCUUGCCCUGCCCCGUCUCUUGCUUAUUAUUCAAAAUUCAGCUUAGGUAUCACUUCUUCCAGGAGGCCUCCCCUGACCUCCGCAACCCCUAAUUGUACUAUUAGGAACCCUUCCUCUGUGCUGCCAUGGCAUACCAAGGAUACCUCUGUAAUAAGCAAGAUUGUUCAUUCGUUCACCCAUUCACUCAUUAUAGCAAGGUGCAGACUCUGGGGCCAAACCUCAGGUUUGAAUCCUGGCUUCAAAGUGGGCAAGUUCUUAACCACCGCCCCCCACCCUGCCUUACUAUCUGUAAAAUGAGGAAAACAAUAGUCCCUACCUCAAACGUUGUUGUGAGGAUUAAAUGAAUUAUCUGUAUAGCACGUGUAUAACACUGCCUGGAAUGUAGUAACACACUAAUAGUUUAGUAAGUAUUUGAUGAAUGUUGGCUACUACUCUUACAACUUGUUAAUUCACUUUACAACAUAGGAAAAACGUUUGUAAAAAUGGACAGAGAAGAGGAUUCUGGGUAGAUGGCAGAGUAGGAAGCAUCAGGAAUCCAUCUUCCCACCUAGACAACAAUUGCACUGGCAGAAUCUGUCUGAUGUAACUGUUUUGUAACACUGGAGUCUAUUGAAGGCAUGAAACUUCCAGGGGAAGUCUUGGACAGUAAAUUGUGCUUAAUUUCAGUCAAUUUUAGCUGUUAACAUGAAAGCAGCUACUCUGACCACAGCCCCCUGUCAGGCGGCUGUAUGGGUGUUCCUGCAGCAACCUGCACACAGCUUGUGAGAGCCAGGGUGGACAAAAAGGACCCUAUAGUGAAUACAGAGUAUCUGAGCUCUGAUCACUGAUUAUUGCUUCUAAUCAAAGAAAUACAGACACAAAAGCAGGUGGCCAUUGUUGUUGCACCUCUCCUGUUGUUGCAAGACUCUCCCCCUCCAGCUGAAGUGACUUCCAAAGGAUUUAAAGGGCUAGUGCCCUUCCUUCUCCUUUAUUUUUCUCUUUUUCCCAUUUAAGAGCCAGACAUUAAAAACUAGAACAUUUAAAAGCAACUGUAUAUACAGGAAAAGUUAGAAAGUGACCAUGUGUGUUCAGGGAAAGGUUCACACUCAGAAAAGACUCCAGAAGACCUUAAGUUUACAUUGCAAGCUAAUGUUUGGCACAGAGACAGUCCACAAGAUCAACAGAAAAACAGCAACAGUUUAUACCUCAGGCUGAUCCUGGGCACAGAGACAGCCUACAACAUCUACAGAAAAACAAUAACAGAAACCAGCAAACCCUAGGGAAAGAAGAGAAUUGGAUUUCCAGAGCUACCACAUCAUUAGUUAAAUGUUCAGUUUUCAACACAAAGCAUACAAAGAAACAGGAAAUUAUGGCCCAUUAAAAGGAAAACAAACAGAAACUGUCCCUGAAAAAGACCUGAUGGCAGAGCUACCAGACAAAGACUUUAAAACAACUCUUUUAAAGAUACUGAAAGAACUAAAGGAAGAUGUAGAUAAAGUCAAGAAAAUGAUGUGUGAACAAAAUAGAGGAUCAAAAAAGAGAAAACCUAAAAAUAAGCCAAAAAGAAAUUCUGGAGCCAUAAAGUACAAUAACUGAAAUGAAGAAUUUACCAGAGGGAUUCAGACAGAUUUGAGGGGGCAAAAGAAGGAAUCCACAAAUUUGAAGAUAGGACAAUAAAAAUGGUCGAGUUUAAGGAACAUAAAGAAAAAAGAUUGAAGAAACAUGAACAGCACCUAAGCGACCUAUGGGAUACCAUCAAAUGGACCAACAUAUGCUUUGUGAGAGUCUUAGAAGAAGAGAAAGAAAGGAGCGGAGAGAAUAUUUGAAGAAAUAAUGGCUGAAAACAUCUGAAAUUAGAUGAAAUACGUAAACAUCCAAGAAGCUCAGCCAACUCCAAGUCAGAUAAACUCAGACCCACACUGAGACUCAUUAUAAUCAAACUGUCAAAAGCCAAAGACACAGAAUCUCGAAAGCAGCAAGAGAGAAGUGACUUAUCGUAUACAAGGGAUCCUCAAUAAGACUGUCAGCAGAUUUCUCAUCAGAAACUUUGGAGGCCAGAAGGCAGUGGGAUGAUAAAGUGUUAAAAGAAAAAGAAAAAAACUGUCAAUCAAGAAUCCUAUAUUUGGCAAAACCAUCCUUUAAAAGUGAGGAAGAAAUUAAGACAUUCCCAGAUAAACAAAAGCUGAAAGAGUUUACCAUUAGACCUGCUCUACAAUAAAUACUCAAGGGAGUCCUGCAGGUGAAAUAAAAGGACACUAGACAGGGACACAAAGACAUUUGAAGAAAUGAAGGUCUCAAAAAAGAUAAAUAUGUAGGCAAUUACAAAAAUGGUUUGUAACUCCACUUUUUGUUUUCUACAUAACUUAAGAGGCUAAUUAUUUAAAAGAAUUAUUAGUUUGUGGUUUGGGGCACACAAUGAAUAAAGAUAUAAUUCUGUGACAACAACAACAAAAAGGCCUGGGGAUGGAAUAUGUUAAAGAAACAGAAUUUGUGGGCUGGGCAUGGUGGCUCAUGCCUCUAAUCCCAGCAUUUUGGGAGGCCGAGAUGGGAGGAUCACUUGAGGCCAGGAUUUAAACACCAGCCUGGUCAACAUAGUGAGAUCCUGUCUCUAAAAAAUAAAAUAAAAUAAACAGAGUUUGUGUAUGUUAUUGAAGUUCAAUUGGUACAGAUUUAAAUUAUAGUGUUAUAACUUUCGGAUGUUAAAUAUAAUCCCCAUGUUAACAACAAGAAAAAAGCUAUAGAAUAUAUACAGAAGGAAAUGAGAAAAGAAUUGAAAUGUCUUAUUACAAAAAAAAAAAGCUAAACAUAAGAGGACGGUGUUGUAGGAAAUGUACAAAACCUCUGUUGACCGGGCACAGUGGCUCAUGCCUGUAAUCCCAGCACUUUGGGAGGCCGAGCAGGUGGUGCUCGGUGACCUAAGGUGACCUUAGGUGAACCUAAGGUCAGGAGUUCAAGACCAGCCUGGCCAACAU
rnacentral:lncRNA from 1 species